GUGCCAGCAGCCGCGGUAAUACGUAGGGGGCGAGCGUUGUCCGGAUUUAUUGGGCGUAAAACGCUUGUAGGUGGCUACGUCAAGUCGGACGUGAAAUCUCCCGGCUUAACUGGGAGGGGUCGCUCGAUACUGGCGAGCUCGAGGCAGGUAGGGGGAAGCGGAAUUCCCGGUGUAGUGGUGGAAUGCGUAGAUAUCGGGAGGAACACCAGUGGCGAAGGCGGCUUCCUGGACCUGUUCUGACACUGAGGAGCGAAAGCGUGGGGAGCGAUCCGGAUUAGAUACCCCCGUAGUCC
rnacentral:rRNA from 1 species